CGCAUCUGUGCAUGCAGCAUAUCAAUAAGCGGAGGAAAAGAAACUAACAAGGAUUCCCCUAGUAACGGCGAGUGAAGCGGGAAGAGCUCAAAUUUGAAAUCUUAAAGGGUUUCCCUUUACGAAUUGUAGUUUAAAGAAGUGUUUUCUGUUGAGGUUUUGGUAAAAGUUCUUUGGAAUAGGACAUCAUAGAGGGUGAGAAUCCCGUAUUUGACCUUUACUUUCAACUUUGUGAUACACUUUCAAAGAGUCGGAUUGUUUGGGAAUGCAGUCCAAAAUGGGUGGUAAAUUUCAUCUAAAGCUAAAUAUUGGCGAGAGACCGAUAGCGAACAAGUACCGUGAGGGAAAGAUGAAAAGAACUUUGAAAAGAGAGUUAAACAGUACGUGAAAUUGUCAAAAGGGAAGCGUUUGACACCAGUGUUGUUUUUCUGAAAAUCAAUUAAAGAACUGUUUAUGCUAAGUUGUUUAGACUUUAUCAGCUAAUCUGCUUAGUUUUGAGCUUUUCUUUAAUGCACUUUUCAGUUAACAAGUCAACAUCAAUUUCUUUUGCUGUAAAAAAGCUUGAGGAAGGUGGCUUGAGAUUCGUCUUAAGUGUUUAUAGCCUCUUGCCUAUGCAGUCGGAGAGAUUGAGGUCUGCAGCGUAGAUCCUUCGGGGCUAAAUGCAUUUGUGCUAAGUUAUAGCAUUUUAUAGACAACUUGUUGACUAUGAUUUGUCUUGUAGCUUACUCGCUUAUGUUAUUUUACCUACGCUUAGGAUGUUGAAGAUGUAGCACAUCAU
rnacentral:rRNA from 1 species